GCCCUCGUUGUCUAAUGGCUAUGACGUCAGACUUCUAAUUUAGUGGCGAUCUGGAGGUUGUGGGUUCGAGUCCCACCGGGGGCU